AAUGCGAUAAGUAAUGUGAAUUGCAGAAUUCAGUGAAUCUUCGAAUCUUUGAACGCACCUUGCGCUCCUUGGUAUUCCUUGGAGCAUGCCUGUUUGAGUAUCAUGAAAUCUUCAAAGUAAAUCUUUUGUUAACUCAAUUGGUUUCUACUUUGGUAUUGGAGGUCUUUGCAGCUUCACACCUGCUCCUCUUUGUUCAUUAGCUGGAUCUCAGUGUUAUGCUUGGUUCCACUCGGCGUGAUAAGUUAUCUAUCGCUGAGGACACUGUAAAAGGUGGCCAAGGUAAAUGCAGAUGAACCGCUUCUAAUAGUCCAUUGACUUGGACAAUACUUUUAUGAUCUGAUCUCAAAUCAGGUAGGACUACCCGCUGAACUUAAGC
rnacentral:misc_RNA from 1 species